UCCGGUUGAUCCUGCCGAAGGCUACUGCUAUUGGAGUUCGAUUAAGCCAUGCGAGUCUAAGGGAUCUUCGGAUCCCUGGCGUAAUGCUCAGUAACACGUGGAUAAUCUACCCUCAGGUGGGGCAUAAACCCGGGAAACUGGGGCCAAUUCCCCAUAAAUACAGAUGGCUGGAAUGCUUCUGUAUUCAAAGCUCCGGCGCCUGAGGAUGAGUCUGCGGCCUAUCAGGUUGUAGUCAGGGUCAUGACCUGACUAGCCAGCGACGGGUAUGGGGUGUGAGAGCACUUGCCCAGAGAUGGUUUCUGAGACACGAAACCAGGCCCUACGGGGCGCAGCAGGCGCGAAAACUUCGCAAUGCGGGAAACCGUGACGAGGGAACUCCAAGUGUCUAUGCAUUGCAUAGACUGUUUUUUAGCCUAAAUAGCUAUUAGAGUAAGGGGUGGGUAAGACCGGUGCCAGCCGCCGCGGUAACACCGGCACCCCGAGUGGUAGCCACUAUUAUUGGGCCUAAAGCGUUCGUAGCCGGUUUGGUAAAUUCUUGGGUAAAUCGUACCGCUUAACGGUGCGGAUUCCGGGGACACUACCAGACUUGAGACCGGGGGAGAUCAGAGGUACUUGCGGGGGAG
rnacentral:rRNA from 1 species